rnacentral:rRNA from 1 species
AUUGAACGCUGGCGGAAUGCUUUACACAUGCAAGUCGAACAGCAGCACGGACUUCGGUCUGGUGGCGAGUGGCGAACGGGUGAGUAAUGUAUCGGAACGUGCCCAGUCGUGGGGGAUAACGUAGUGAAAAUUACGCUAAUACCGCAUACGAUCUAUGGAUGAAAGCGGGGGAUCGCAAGACCUCGCGCGAUUGGAGUGGCCGAUAUCAGAUUAGGUAGUUGGUGGGGCAAAGGCCCACCAAGCCAACGAUCUGUAGCUGGUCUGAGAGGACGACCAGCCACACUGGAACUGAGACACGGUCCAGACUCCUACGGGAGGCAGCAGUGGGGAAUUUUGGACAAUGGGCGAAAGCCUGAUCCAGCCAUUCCGCGUGCAGGAUGAAGGCCCUCGGGUUGUAAACUGCUUUUGUACAGAACGAAAAGGUUUCUACUAAUACUAGGAGCUCAUGACGGUACUGUAAGAAUAAGCACCGGCUAACUACGUGCCAGCCGCCGCAGUAA